UACGUAGGGUGCGAGCGUUGUCCGGAAUUAUUGGGCGUAAAGGGCUCGUAGGCGGUCUGUUGCGUCAGGAGUGAAAACUCGGGGCUUAACCCCGAGCCUGCUUCUGAUACGGGCAGACUAGAGGUAUGCAGGGGAGAACGGAAUUCCUGGUGUAGCUGUGAAAUGCGCAGAUAUCAGGAGGAACACCGGUGGCGAAGGCGGUUCUCUGGGCAUUACCUGACGCUGAGGAGCGAAAGUGUGGGGAGCGAACAGG
rnacentral:rRNA from 1 species